GCUCGUGAUAGAAGUUCGGAGUAGACCGCUCACAGUAGAAGUUCAGAGUAGACCGCUCGCAAUAGAAGUUCGGAGUAGACCGCUCGCUGUAGGAGUUCGGAGUAGACAGCUCGCUGUAGGAGUUCGGUUAGAAUCUUGAAGGCGGUCGACCGUCGUAGAAACUUGGAUGGAGUCUGAUUACUGUAGAAACCUCAUUGUCGAAGAAGCUCAGAUAUUGACGAAGUCCGAAAGGAGUUCGGAGAAUAGUUGAUCACUGUAGAAGGUCGGCUGACAGUGAGGCCUAGAGAGCCUUUGGAACGGCACGGUAGAUGGAUGGAGAAGCUC
rnacentral:lncRNA from 1 species